CAUGUCAGGACCAGGCCAACUAGGUGGUGGCCUACGCAAAACUCUCCAAGGAGAUCGCUUGUUUGGAUAUGGUAGCUGCCUGAUUGAGAGAGCCUGGAGGACAGAAUUCUAGCCUGGAGAACCAGCUCAACAGACAGGGCUUCUGUAACGGGGACUGCGCCCAGCUGUGGACCAGCAUACGCUUGUAUGAGAUCACAAGUUCUGACUGUGCUCACCUCUUCCCAGCUCCACGCUCAGUGCGGCAGAUAACUUGAGAUUGACUGUGAUGGGAGUAUUUACACCAUGGAAUUCAGCAAACACUAUAGAUUGGGGCUUCCCUUCACCUCCCUAGAGAGCCAGUUGUUAAACAUUUACCAGCACUCCACUGACAGCAUCCAUUUACUCCUAACCUCAUAGCUUUCUUUGACUUGCUCUUUUCUUCAGUCUCUACCUAUAUGUCUUCUAGUUCAGUUAAAGUCCUAGGCUUUUCUAAAUCUCAGCUCGACUCUCUUUCUUGUUUGUUUUUUUCUUUUUCUUUUUUUUUUUGGCAUAUAUAUUUCUUAUUUUACUUUAUUAAAUCGUACUAAUAUUCUUUAAGGCACAAACAAGACAAGUAGGCUAUAGUGAAGAAAUCUUAUUUUGGAGAGUUAAGAAACCACUAUGAUACUUCCAGGUAUUAUCUUCAGUGAUGCUUCUUAUCUUUAUUCAGGGACUCCAGGUAAUAUUCAGCUCCUACAGCUACCACAAAUGCAGCAAAUCCCCAUUUGAAUCCUUUAAAGAAUACAUCA